rnacentral:rRNA from 1 species
ACGUAAUAGAUACCCUGGUAGUCCACGCCCUAAACGAUGUCUACUAGUUGUUGGUGGAGUAAAGUCCAUGAGUAAACGCAGCUAAACGCGUGAAGUAGACCGCCUGGGGAGUACGGUCGCAAGAUUAAAACUCAAAUGAAUUGACGGGGGCCCGCACAAGCGGUGGAUUAUGUGGAUUAAUUCGAUGCAACGCGAAAACCUUACCUGGCCUUGACAUGUAACGAACUUUCCAGAGAUGGAUUGGUGCUCGAAAGAGAACGUUAACACAGGUGCUGCAUGGCUGUCGUCAGCUCGUGUCGUGAGAUGUUGGGUUAAGUCCCGCAACGAGCGCAACCCUUGCCAUUAAUUGCCAUCAUUUAGUUGGGCACUUUAAUGGGACUGCCGGUGACAAACCGGAGGAAGGUGGGGAUGACGUCAAGUCCUCAUGGCCCUUAUGGCCAGGGCUUCACACGUAAUACAAUGGUCGGUACAGAGGGUUGCCAACCCGCGAGGGGAGCCAAUCCCAGAAAGCCGAUCGUAGUCCGGAUUGUAGUCUGCAACUCGAC